rnacentral:rRNA from 1 species
UGAGGAAUAUUGCACAAUGGGCGGGAGCCUGAUGCAGCAACGCCGCGUGCGGGACGACGGCCUUCGGGUUGUAAACCGCUUUUCUGAGGGACGAGCGAGGACGGUACCUUAGGAAUAAGUCUCGGCUAACUACGUG